rnacentral:lncRNA from 1 species
CGGAUUUACGUGGUUCGGUCGAGAAGACCUACGUCCACGGGGGUUUUGGGGGGUUUUUCCACUAUAAUCGAGAGAGUUACAUUUUACAAGAGAUGAAUGAGUAAAAAAUGAGAUGAUCAUCCUCUAACCUACUACUAAGUCUCUAUUUAUAAACAUGAACAUAAACCUAAGGCCCUUGGGCCCAUUGGACCCCUAAAGCCCAUUAGCCCAAUGAAACAAGCCCAAGCCCCGUUAUUCUAAUCUAUAUCUUGAAAUUGAACCAUCAGAGUUGGAAAGCGGAGCCGAGCUGAGCCAAGCCGAGAGUCAGGGCAAUCCUGUAUCAAAUAUCAGAAAUAACCCCAAUAAUAAUAAUAACUAGAAAUAUUCCCGUUAUGUUUAGCACAGUGCUGGUGCACAUUUCAGUCCUCAUCAACCACUCCCCCCUCUGGUCUGGUUGAACCGGGUAUUCUUCGUGUUCAACCAGCGAAGUAUCGCUAAAGCCAGCGCUGUGCUGUUUUCCUUGGUCCCUGCAAAUCAUGAAGACAUAAGAGUUUUAAUACUUUAAGAAAGCAAAGAUAAGCAUUUUUCCCUUGACUUUGGAAUUGUAGUUCCAAGUUAGAUUUCCUUCUUGUUUGUUGAAUGUUGACAAAGAUAAAUAAUUUCCAUUUCUUUGGGCGCAUAAGAAAACCAGCACUGAGAAUACCCCAUAUUGAAUACUUUGCAUAGAUAAGCAAUAUAAAUGCUUUGUGUUGGAUGAACCAGAAGACCGCUGCAAGAAUACCCGAAUAACAUAGGAAGACCCAUGUCGAAGUUGAGAAAUAUGAUACUCUGAUCAUGUGAGAAAACCCGUCAUAAAUAUUUAUCGAGUCUGAACAAUAUACCCUGUUGUUGAGCGCGUAAGAAAUCCGGCGCGUGAGAAGACCAAUAGAUGACAAUAGCACGCCAAAAGGCGGCUUAUUUCUCGCUGAGCAGCGAUUAAAAUAGAUCCAAGCAGCCCAUAAAGCAAAGGCGCAAAACAGUGUAGCCCGUAGAGUAGAGCAGAGAAAUACCCUUUCAGAGCAGAGAAAUGCCUAUCAGAUCAGAGAAAUACUUGUCAGAACAGCCCGGUCAGAGUGGAGAAAUACCCUUUCAGAACAGAGAAAUGCUGGUCAGAGCAGUCCAGUCAGAGCAGAGAAAUGCCCUUUCAGAGCAGAGAAACGUCCCUCAGCGAAGCCCGGUCAGAGCAGAGAAAUGUCCCUCAGAGAAGCCCGGUCAGAGCAGAGAAAUGCCCUUUCAGAGCAGAGAAAUGUCCCUCAGAGAAGCCCGGUCAGAGCAGAGAGAUGCCCUUCAGAGCACCCAGCAGAGCAGAGAACACCCGUCAGAGCACCCGUCAGAGCAGAGAAACACCCGUCAGAGCACCCGGCAGAGCACCCGGCAGAGNNN